UACGGAGGGUGCAAGCGUUGUUCGGAAUCACUGGGCGUAAAGGGCGUGUAGGCGGUCCGCUAAGUCUGAUGUGAAAGCCCGGGGCUCACCCCCGGAAGUGCAUUGGAAACUGGCGAACUCGAGUCCCGGAGAGGAGGGUGGAAUUCCUGGUGUAGCGGUGAAAUGCGUAGAUAUCAGGAGGAACACCGGUGGCGAAGGCGGCCCUCUGGACGGUGACUGACGCUGAGACGCGAAAGCGUGGGGAGCAAACAGG
rnacentral:rRNA from 1 species